CGUUAAUGCUAACGGCGUCUAUACGCCCCUUCACACUUCACAGACUAGCUUAGCUCGCCGGGAACCCAUAUUGUUGGUCGCUCGCCUCGCCGCUCGCCGGGAACGCAGGUGCCGUCCCUGCACAGGAGAAAUUUCUGACAAUGCGCCACGGGAGGGAGGAGAGCGGUAGGCUAGGGUUCAGGGGUCAACUCACCCGCCGCCACCCGCCGCCGUUGCCGUCGCCGCUAUCGCCGCCGCCGCCGCUGUCGCCGUCGCUGUCCGAUGAAGCCACCUCCCCCCUGAUGCCGCCACCUCCCAGGGACGCCGCUCUCUUGCGCUUGACGCCGCCGCCGCCUCCCUCCCGCCGGACGCCGCCACGUCGCACCGGAUGCCACCUGCUCCGUCCUGUAGAAGCUACCCAGUUCGCAGUAAGGCAUAGGGCCCGCACAGAGGUACUUAUCAGUGAGAACGAUGAAGAUGAUGAGGAGCGGUUAACCCCACUCAGCCUUGGUAGCAAGAGGAGCACCAGCUCACGCAGCACAGCCUGCAACCCCAACAAGAAGACAAAGAACCAAGCUAUAUGGGCUAUGCAGCAAGACAUGAGCAAGAUCACCACUAUCUUGGAGAGUAAACAUGAAACUAUGAAGGGCAUCUUGGCCGCCAGGGCGAAAGAUACCCUCGCGUACCACAAGAAGAUCAAGCUAGUGCAGCAGCUGGCAAGAGAGGCUGGUGCAACAGAGAGUAACCCAAGGCUCUGGAUUGGUGUCCUAAAGAUCACCGCACUUGAUUGUGUGAUGGAAUUCUUCAUCAACUCUGCCCCAAAAGGCAGAAUGGCCGUCAUUGAGUACUAUGCCUCAGUCGGCAACUAGUUCUUCUUAUCCAUGCAUAUGUAUUGUCAAGCAUUAGAGUAGUCAUGUGAUGUUUAGUAUUUGAAUAAUGUCUGUGUUGUGUAGUACUUGUACUAUGUCCGUGGGAUGAAGGAUGAACUGCGGUAUUGUAUCAGACGCCGGAAGGACAUGAUCAUGUCGAAGGCCAUGCUAACGACCUUGCUAGUCAUGGUACUCAACAUGCUCAGUGGGAGGAAGAUUUGUUGGACUUAAUGCUGUUAGAUGAUGA